rnacentral:misc_RNA from 1 species
UACGGAGGUGGCAAGCGUUACUCGGAAUCAUUGGGUGUAAAGGGCAGGUAGGCGGCCUAGUAAGUGAGGUGUGAAAUCCCACGACUCAAUCGUGGAACUGCAUCUCAAACUGUUAGGCUUGAGAAUGUUAGGGGGAAGCGGAAUUAGCAGUGUAAGGGUGAAAUCUGUAGAUAUUGCUAAGAACACCGGCGGCGAAGGCGGCUUCCUGGGACAUUUCUGACGCUGAGGUGCGAAAGCGUGGGGAGCAAACAGG